GGUGUGGUUUUCUACUUUAGUUGGAGAGGGGUGCAUUUUAGAAAAACUGGGGAAAGGCAUAAGGUCUAUCUUUUUUUUUCUCUCUCUACUCUCUUCUGUCGCGUCUCGUUAGGUCAAAUCUCCCUCUCGCCCUUUCUCCCUAGCUUCCUUUAAUCUAGGCCUGAACGUUAAAUUAUAUUUGAAUUCGACUUCUAUGUUUGGAUUGAUUUGAUGAAUGUGUGUGAAUAGGGAGCAAAAUCUAAAAUGACGAUUCGUGAUUCUUCGGUUUUUGAUGAUGGACAACGCGGGGAGUUGCUUGAGUUCAUGCAUCCUUAAUUCUUCGGUUUGAGACUUGCAGCAUGGGUAAACCGAGUGCCAGACACGUAAACCAGUCUUUUAUUUUAUACUUUAACACCAUUGCAUUUUCUCUUGCCGGAAGUGUGUUGCAUUAGUUUAUGAGUGGAAAGGAGAGGUAUAGAUUCUAGAAUCCCCACGAGAGGAAAAUUUUGAAAAGAGAAUUGUGGAUAUGAACUUAUUAUCCAGACAGACUCUGAGGAACUGCAUAUAAUCAGAAUCCACCAAUCCCUUUUGGAAGCUUUCAAUGAACAUGUUAAAGCAAAUCAUGAAUAUGAUGUACCAGAAGUAAUUGCCUUGCCCAUCACUGGUGGCAGUCAACAGUAUUUGGAAUGGGUCAAAAUUGACUUUCUUGGAUGUUGCAAGGUCUAGUACAUGAAAAUCUACAGAAUUGUGAAGUGUAGAAUGGUGAAAGUUGAAUUGUAACGGUUUCUAAUGGUUCAUCAAGCCAAGACUUGGUUUUGUGCAACCUUUGGGCAGUGGACAUGGUUGUAGGUGAAUAAUUCCGUUUCAUUGUACUAGUUGUGUGGUGAUAAGCCUGCAGAAGGGGUAUUUGUUGUCGCCUUGCUGUCUAUGUCUUCAACUGCAGUGGUACUAUUUUGCCACAGUAAUGUGAUUUUGUUAAUAUAAUUUAUAUCCUGGUAGUAAUCAGAUGGUAAAACUUUUGUUUGUCAUUGUUGCUCUUUAUUGUUGAUCUUUCCAUGAAGCUUCAUAUCUCUGUAUUUUUUUUUUUUCAUUUUAUGGCUAGUUGUAGAUCACAUUUGUUGCAUGACAUGAUUUCAUAUUCCAGGUUAUUGUACUGGUAAUAGAUCUCCGAAGAUAAAGAAUUCAUCUAGGAAAUGCUUGUUCAACUAGUAGCUGAGAUUGAAUCCUGUAGAAACUGUAUACUUACAGUUAUUAAAGAAACUAAAAUACAAAUUAAUGCAAUGCGCUGGUGUAUUAUAAUA